GUUGUUCAUUGUGAUUCCAGUAAUGUGGGAGGUCUUACCGAGAUUCACAACUAGGGGUGAAAAGAUAAAACUCAAGGCAAUGUUUCCAUCCUAUAUGUCAUCUGAUGUCAAUUCAGGAAAAUUCUAAAACCUUGGCCUCAUUCUUGUUCAGGAAAAUUCUAAAACCUUGGCCUCAUUCUUGUUCAUGAAAAGUGAUUGAAUGUAGAAUUGUGAAGUCGUUGCUCCUGCUGGAAUUGUAUUGAAACCAAAUCAAGAAGUGGUUUCUUAAUCUGCAGCGAAGUGAGUUUCUUAAAAUCUUAAUAUGAAUGAGAUGGAAGCAACUGAAAUCUCUUACUUGAUAUAUGAGGUUUUUUUAAUUAGAAGAGAUUUUUG